UCACUUUUCCAACACGCCCAUGUCAUAAUACCUUUGCCUAAACCGUAAUAAACACGACACUUAACAUGCAUACACGUAAUAUACAUGUAUAUGUAUACUACCCAUACCUAUUCACACGCCGGUUGUCUAACUUUUGGUCUCGUGCCAUAUCCGAGAUGAAAAUCGUAAUAUUGCUGUGCAUUAUUGUUCGCCGCUGUAUUUCACGGAAACGGGGAUAGGUAAAUCACGCAAUAAUGAGACGUUAUCGGAUCAUAACAAUAAUAAUAUAUCCGAGAAAAUUAACACGUUUCGCUCUAUAAUUAUGAAUUGUUU